GACAGCAGUCGCCGCGGGAAUACGUAGGGUGCAAGCGUUGUUCGGAAUUAUUGGGCGUAAAGGGUGCGUAGGCGGCUUGACAAGUCUUGUGUGAAAUCUUCGGGCUCAACCCGAAGUCUGCACGGGAAACUACUGGGCUUGAGUAAUGGAGAGGUGAGUGGAAUUUCCGGUGUAGCGGUGAAAUGCGUAGAUAUCGGAAGGAACACCUGUGGCGAAAGCGGCUCACUGGACAUUUACUGACGCUGAUGCACGAAAGCUAGGGGAGCAAACAGGAUUAGAUACCCGUGUAGUCCCUGUCUCUUAUAC
rnacentral:rRNA from 1 species